rnacentral:lncRNA from 1 species
CAUCACCCCCAUCAGGCCUGUUCAUGUAGACUCUACACUGCAGACUGCAGGGAUGAAACUCUGUAUCCAAGAACCUACCAAUAAAGACCCCUGUGAAACGGCUGGCAAACAGGCUCAGAAUCCGAAGCAUAGAGAGUCUCUCCCAGGAAACUUGACCAGCAAACCUGAAGGACAGGCUUCGGCUUCCCAAGAUAGACGCUGGAGUUGGAGCUGCACAUCCAUCGAGGAAGGGACCUUACCCAGGCAACUCACCAAUUGGAGCCUCAGUUUCUGCAUCUGCAGAUUCAUCACCCACUGAGCUAUAAGGGAAGCCCUGUUUUGACCACAUUCAAGUGGAC